rnacentral:sRNA from 1 species
UUUUUUUUGUGUUUUUUG